rnacentral:rRNA from 1 species
GAGAGAAACUUGGGCCUAAUACUGGAUAGGACCAUCCUUUAGUGUGUGAUGGUGGAAAGUUUUUUCGGUUGGGGAUGAGCUCGCGGCCUAUCACUUGUUGGUGGGGUAAUGGCCUACCAAGGCGUCAACGGGUAGCCGGCCUGAGAGGGUGUACGGCCACAUUGGGACUGAGACACGGCCCAAACUCCUACGGGAGGCAGCAGUGGGGAAUAUUGCACAAUGGGCGGAAGCCUGAUGCACCGACCCCCCGUGAGGGAUGACGGCCUUCGGGUUGUAAACCUCUUUCAACAGGGACAAAGCUUUUGUGACGGUACCUGUAUAAAAAGCACCGGCUAACUACGUGCCACCAGCCGCGGUAAUACGUAGGGUGCGAGCGUUGUCCGGAAUUACUGGGCGUAAAGAGCUCGUAGGUGGUUUGUCGCGUCGUCUGUGAAAUUCCGGGGCUUAACUCCGGGCGUGCAGGCGAUACGGGCAUAACUUGAGUGCUGUAGGGGAGACUGGAAUUCCUGGUGUAGCGGUGAAAUGCGCAGAUAUCAGGAGGAACACCGAUGGCGAAGGCAGGUCUCUGGGCAGUAACUGACGCUGAGGAGCGAAAGCAUGGGGAGCGAACAGGAUUAGAUACCCUGGUAGUCCAUGCCGUAAACGGUGGGCGCUAGGUGUAGGGGACUUCCACGUCUUCUGUGCCGUACCUAACGCAUUAAGCGCCCCGCCUGGGGAGUACGGCCGCAAGGCUAAAA